GCGUGAGUGAAGAAGGCCUUAGGGUUGUAAAACUCUUUCAUCGGUGAAGAUGAUGACGGUAGCCGAAGAAGAAGCACCGGCUAACUCCGUGCCAGCAGCCGCGGUAAUACGGAGGGUGCUAGCGUUGUUCGGAAUUACUGGGCGUAAAGAGCACGUAGGCGGCGCAGCCAGUCAGAGGUGAAAGCCCCGGGCUCAACCUGGGAAUUGCCUUUGAUACUGCUGUGCUUGAGUCCAUCAGAGGGUGGCGGAAUACCCAGUGUAGAGGUGAAAUUCGU
rnacentral:rRNA from 1 species